UAAUACGUAGGGGGCAAGCGUUGUCCGGAUUUAUUGGGCGUAAAGCGCGCGCAGGCGGUCCUUUAAGUCUGAUGUGAAAGCCCACGGCUCAACCGUGGAGGGUCAUUGGAAACUGGGGGACUUGAGUGCAGAAGAGGAAAGCGGAAUUCCACGUGUAGCGGUGAAAUGCGUAGAGAUGUGGAGGAACACCAGUGGCGAAGGCGGCUUUCUGGUCUGUAACUGACGCUGAGGCGCGAAAGCGUGUGGAGCAAACAGG
rnacentral:rRNA from 1 species